rfam:Canis lupus familiaris chromosome X, whole genome shotgun sequence.
ACCUGGCUGGCUCAGUCAGUAGAACAUAAGACUUUUGAUCUUAGGGCCAUGAGUUCAAGCCUCAUGCAGGGUA